UGGAAGCUUAAAAGUCCUCUAAAAAUGAAGAUAUUCCUCUGGUUUUUAAAUAGAGGGGUCAUCUUAACUAGAGAUAAUCUGGCACAACACAAUUAGCAAGGUACCAAGACACGUGUCUUUUGCCAACAUGACGAGUCUAUUAAAUACUUAUUUUUUGAAUGUAAGUUCGCUCGAGCAGUUUGGGUCAUAGUUCAAGUAGCUUCAAAUUUAUACCCCGCAUGUAGUGCAUAUAACAUGUUCAGCAACUGGUUGCGGGGUAUUGAUAAACAUAUUCUGCAUAUAUUUUUAUGGGGGCGGCUGCCUUAUGUUGGGCAUUGUGGCUUACCAGAAAUGAUGUGGUUUUUAAUAAUAGAUGUGUCUCAUCUUCUAUGCAGGUUAUUCAUGUAUGUACGUGAUGGCUCCGUACUUGGUCUAUCCUGCAGAGGUCGGAGGAUAGGGACCUUUUUAUGA
rnacentral:rRNA from 1 species